GUGCCAGCAGCCGCGGGUAAUACGUAAGAUGGCRAGCGUGUCGGAAUUAUUGGGCGUAAAGGGCUCGCAGGCGGUUUCUUAAGUCUGAUGUGAAAGCCCCCGGCUCAACCGGGGGAGGGUCAUUGGAAACUGGGAAACUUGAGUGCAGAAGAGGAGAGUGGAAUUCCACGUGUAGCGGUGAAAUGCGUAGAGAUGUGGAGGAACACCAGUGGCGAAGGCGACUCUCUGGUCUGUAACUGACGCUGAGGAGCGAAAGCGUGGGGAGCGAACAGGAUUAGAUACCCUGGUAGUCC
rnacentral:rRNA from 1 species